AAGCUCGACUGAAAAUAAGCUCAAACAGCAAUUCGCCAAAUUAACGAGUCACCUCACUUGUGACCAAAUCACAGAGAGAUGCUGAACCCCAAGCUUUUGCUUCCUGGAAUAUAUGUAGUUUGAAGAGACUUCACUUAGCAGCUUCAAAAGAAGGCAAGAUCAUAAUCGCAGAGUAAAUCCUAAAAAAGUUGCAGGAAGAAAUAAAGAGAUGAGAAGAGAACUUUGAUAAAGUACUGGUUGGAUAAGCAAGAAUUUGAUAGAGGAUACAGUCAAUCUUUACCUACAGAGACAAGCGAAGCAAGUGGUUCAUUAUUCCUCUUUGGAUUAAACAACAAGCAGAAGACCCACCACAGGACUCACCAUAGAUGACAUCAGCAGCCAAAAGCAUUUCACUGCUUAAUCAUGAAACAGAUUCAACAUUGAAACAAUACCAAAGACUCAUUCGUUGAAACGGAAGAUGCAUGCCAUGGUCAUUUUGAGUGGGUGUUCGAUAAAUAUUGAUGCUCGGAAUACUGACGCAGAAGUUCUGCCAGCUAAGCACCAUCAAAGAAAGGCUCAAGGAUCCAGAGAACCAGAUGAACUGGAGGUGGUACCAAUUUCCAGAUGAUAAACAUCCAGACCGAUAGCCAGUAGACUCAUCUAUAUUACGCAUGUCUACUGAUUUAAAUCAUCAACUAGAUGCCAAAUAUGCAUAUGGUAUUAUGAGUGGUUUGGUGUACUAUGAGAGGCUCGGUCUUUGGGUUUAAGAUGCAUUCCGUGUCACUUCUCAGCCACUAAGAGGUAAAAGGUAGUGGAGAAUGGGCAGUACACAAUUUUCCUUCUUUUCUAGCAUUGCUUUUUCUUUCCCAUUUUCAUCUUAGAAGAUGUUUCAGUAAACUUCAUACUCUGUAUUUUCUAAAGCUAAAGAGAAUGGCUACAUCCUAUUUUUUGAUGGUUUUUGGUUUUCAUACUAUAUCUGCGAAGAGAGAAAACGGAGAUAUGAUUAUACAAUCCAAGCGGAUGAUCCCUCUAGUAUCUGGAUAACUCGAGAGUGUGUGCCAGCAGGCUCAAGGUUCUAAAUCGAGGGAGGAAUUAAGCAGUGUCUCAUGUUCUUUAAUUCUGUGAAUUCGAGUUCGCACAGUACUAUGCAAGGUUGUUAUUCUUCCUAUGAAUAUAUAUGUUUUUGUUUGUUGUUGCCCUUUGGGAUUCUUUUAAAAAUCCAC
rnacentral:lncRNA from 1 species